rnacentral:rRNA from 1 species
GAUGAGCGCUGGCGGCGUGCCUAAUACAUGCAAGUCGAGCGAACGGACGAGAAGCUUGCUUCUCUGAUGUUAGCGGCGGACGGGUGAGUAACACGUGGAUAACCUACCUAUAAGACUGGGAUAACUUCGGGAAACCGGAGCUAAUACCGGAUGAUAUUUUGAACCGCAUGGUUCAAAAGUGAAAGACGGUCUUGCUGUCACUUAUAGAUGGAUCCGCGCUGCAUUAGCUAGUUGGUAAGGUAACGGCUUACCAAGGCAACGAUGCAUAGCCGACCUGAGAGGGUGAUCGGCCACACUGGAACUGAGACACGGUCCAGACUCCUACGGGAGGCAGCAGUAGGGAAUCUUCCGCAAUGGGCGAAAGCCUGACGGAGCAACGCCGCGUGAGUGAUGAAGGUCUUCGGAUCGUAAAACUCUGUUAUUAGGGAAGAACAUAUGUGUAAGUAACUGCGCACAUCUUGACGGUACCUAAUCAGAAAGCCACGGCUAACUACGUG